rnacentral:snoRNA from 1 species
ACGACCUUACUUGAACAGGAUCUGUUCUAUAGGAUUGUACCUCUGUAUCCUUGAGUUUUAAGGAGACAAGAACCUAAGUCUGGUCGAUGAUAAUGACCGUGCGGAUUAGAGUGUGAUUAAAUGGCUCAUCAUUUGAUGGCUGAGAUGGUCGUUCGGUUGUCUGACAGACU